rnacentral:rRNA from 1 species
GAUGAACGCUAGCGAUAGGCUUAACACAUGCAAGUCGAGGGGCAGCAUGGUCUUAGCUUGCUAAGACUGAUGGCGACCGGCGCACGGGUGCGUAACGCGUAUGCAACUUGCCUCACAGAGGGGGAUAACCCGUCGAAAGACGGACUAAUACCGCGUACACUUGGGAUAGGGCAUCCUGACCCAAGGAAAUGAAAUUCGCUGUGAGAUAGGCAUGCGUCCCAUUAGCUAGUUGGUGAGGUAACGGCUCACCAAGGCGACGAUGGGUAGGGGAACUGAGAGGUUGAACCCCCCACACUGGUACUGAGACACGGACCAGACUCCUACGGGAGGCAGCAGUGAGGAAUAUUGGUCAAUGGGCGAGAGCCUGAACCAGCCAAGUCGCGUGAAGGAUGACUGUCUUAUGGAUUGUAAACUUCUUUUAUACGGGAAUAACAAGAGCCACGUGUGGCUCCCUGCAUGUACCGUAUGAAUAAGCAUCGGCUAACUCCGUG